rnacentral:rRNA from 1 species
AGAAUCAACGCUGGCGGCGUGCCUAACACAUGCAAGUCGAACGCGAAAGCCCCGCAAGGGGUGAGUAGAGUGGCAAACGGGUGAGUAACACGUGGGUGACCUGCCUUCGAGUGGGGGAUAACGUCCCGAAAGGGACGCUAAUACCGCAUAACAUCCUGCUUUUAAGAGGUGGACACCAAAGCUGGGGACCGCAAGGCCUGGCGCUUGAAGAGGGGCCCGCGCCUGAUUAGCUAGUUGGUGGGUAAUGGCUCACCAAGGCAUCGAUCAGUA